rnacentral:rRNA from 1 species
AGAGUUUGAUCAUGGCUCAGAUUGAACGCUGGCGGCAUGCCUUACACAUGCAAGUCGAACGGCAGCACGGGGGCAACCCUGGUGGCGAGUGGCGAACGGGUGAGUAACACAUCGGAACGUACCCAGUUGUGGGGGAUAACCAGUCGAAAGACGGGCUAAUACCGCAUGAUCUGGCGACAGCAAAGCGGGGGAUCGGUAACGACCUCGCGCGAUUGGAGCGGCUGAUGUCCGAUUAGCUAGUUGGUGGGGUAAAGGCCCACCAAGGCUUUGAUCGGUAGCUGGUCUGAGAGGAUGAUCAGCCACACUGGGACUGAGACACGGCCCAGACUCCUACGGGAGGCAGCAGUGGGGAAUUUUGGACAAUGGGGGCAACCCUGAUCCAGCCAUGCCGCGUGAGUGAAGAAGGCCUUCGGGUUGUAAAGCUCUUUCGGUAGGAACGAAACGGUUACGGCUAAUACCUGUGACUAAUGACGGUACUUACAGAAGAAGCACCGGCUAACUACGUGCCAGCAGCCGCGGUAAUACGUAGGGUGCGAGCGUUAAUCGGAAUUACUGGGCGUAAAGGGUGCGCAGGCGGUCUCGUAAGCUGGGUGUGAAAGCCCCGGGCUUAACCUGGGAAUGGCAUUCAGGACUGCGAGGCUUUGAGUGCGGCAGAGGGAGGUGGAAUUCCCGUGUAGCAGUGAAAUGCGUAGAGAUGUGGAGGAACACCGAUGGCGAAGGCAGCCUCCUGGGCCAGCACUGACGCUCAUGCACGAAAGCGUGGGGAGCAAACAGGAUUAGAUACCCUAGUAGUCC